CCAGACGGUCCUGAAGUGGAAAUGCUUCUGAUGUCACGGACUUUUCUCCCCCUUUUUAAGCCUUCAGGACUCUUUCUGAUCUCCGAAAUAUCAGUGUGACCUCAACGGAUGCCUGGAACAUGAACUGUUUGGCAAGUCAUUUUUGUUAUUGCUGAACGUGCCAAAUUGCAUCUGAGAAAAAAAAAAAACUAACGCUGGCAUUUAAUUACGAGUCAAAGCCAGCCCAUGGCAUGUUGCUAAUUGGAGAAGUGGUAUUUCCGUCAUGGAUUUUCCGACAGCACGCUCUGGACAGAAUGAUACUGUAGAAUGUCUUUGGAUAUGGGAGGAUCCUGGAGCACUCCGAGGAAACCCACAAAGACACAAGGACAACAUGCAAACUCCACACAGGAAUGCUACGGUCGGAUUUGAACCCAGGACCUUCCUGCUGUUUCUUCAAGGUCAACUCACAGCUGAAAGACAGCAGGACCCAGCCCUGUGAUUCUACAGUACGUAGGGAAACAAAAGCUGCCCAUGCCUUUGAUGACCUGGAGACUGAAUAUUCGCUUCAACAAUUUUCUGGACAAUUUGAGAAUCAACAGCACAUUAUAAUUUAGGCCUUUUGUGCUUAAAGUGGACAGUGUAGAUUCAACUCUAACCGUUUAUUUGUGUGCAGAUGGGGUCAAAUAAACCGUAUCAGGAAAAAUAAACCGUGCUCUCCAGUGAAGCAUGACUUCUGUCGCAGGAUGUGUUCUAAAUAAUUUUUUUGUGUUUACAAAUCAUGACGUCGAAUUAUUCGAAUAAGUUGGGCUCUACUGGGGAAAUGG